rnacentral:lncRNA from 1 species
AUGCAGCUUAAUGCAAUCCUGACUCAUAAAGUACCUCCAAACCACUGCUCCCCAGUUGUUCCAUGUCAGGUACACCAUAGUAUGAACUUAUUUCACUUGAUACCCUCCAGAAGGUCCUACCUCUUAAAAGAACAUGUAGCUAUAUGCCAUGAAGUGUUUUUGGAGAAGUCACCACCACCAUCACCACCAUCAUCAUCAUCACCCUCAACAACAACAAGAGCAACAAACAAGUAUCAAAUGAAAGCCAUUCGCCAAUCUUCCAAUCUAUUGAGAAUACUCUGUCGUGUAAUAUCCAAAUGAAAUGGUGAGUAUCCAGUUCCCAAACCAAAUAUUAUGAGAAGCCCUGCCUCCUUCCAGGGUUCUCAGGAUUCCUGGGAGGGUGUGCAUGAGUGCAUUCAUGUGCUUGUGUGCAUGUUCAUGUGUGCGUGUGCGUGUGCUUGUUAGCCUGUGUGUGUGGUGGACGUCACAGCAGAGGAGCAGAGUGUGCAGAAGGCCUGGUGGCUUCUGUUCUUCAAGUAAUCUCUCUCUGAAAGGUUCUGCUGAAUUCCCGUUUCUCAUCUUGCCCUGCAGCUAUUGUUCUUACUUCUACCACUUCACCUCAUUGGGUGAAUCCCCUACACGGAUUCCGUUUCCUUCAUUCUCCGAAGCACCAUUAACAUUAGACAAUUGCAUAUUUUAACCUUUGCUGAAAGUCAGGGGUGAUGGAGAGGGGCACUGCUUGGAAAACAACUUCAAGCUGUACAUCAGGUCUUGCCAUCCUCCAAGUCGUUUAGUCAACUCUCCAGCACAGGAAAUUUACAUUACUAUCCGUCCUUUUAGGGCCUUGCCUGCUGCUGUGCUCCUAGGGCCGACUUUCCUCUCUACCCUCAUUCCUCUGUAUCAUCUUCUUGGAGUCCCCAGGGUUCCUGUACCUUUCUCCUUCGCCAGCAGAGACUCAGAAACUCUCUAUACAGAAGAAGGAGCUCAGCAAGAACAGCCUGAUUGGGAACUGGGGCUAGAGGUCUUACCUCAAAGUCUGCUUUGCUUUGAAGCACACUAUUUUUACUUAGAUUGUAUGUUACUUGGAUUGGGUAGGGGCUCCAAUGGAGGCUACAGGAAAGAGCUAAAGUCACUUCCAUUGAUACAGCCACCCCUCAUUUUAGCACUGCAACUCCACCAUCUCUCUACUUACAGUACAAUUUAGUUAUCUGCCAGAAUCCCCUUUUUCCAGAAUAUGCCUUGGAGAGACCACCUUCUAUAAUCAAAAGACCCCUCUAGGUAUUUCUCAAGCAAAAGAGCAGACUUGUUUAUUCCACCUUCCAGAAUGUGAAAGCAACUUCAGACAUUUCUUUUUAAAAUAGCAAUUGGGCCGGGUGUGGUGGCUCACGCCUGUAAUCCCAGCACUUUGGGAGGCCAAGGCAGCAGAUUACUUGAGGUCAGGAGUUUGAGACCAGCCUGGCCAAUGUGAUGAAACCCCAUCUCUACUAAAAAUACAAAAAUUAGCUGAGUGUGGUGGCAGGCACCUGUAAUCCCAGCUACUCUGGAGGCUGAGGCGGGAGAAUCGCUUGAACCUGGGAGGCAGAGGUUGCAUUGAGCCGAGAUUGCGCCACUGCACUCCAGCCUGGGCGACAGAGUGAAACUCCAUCUCAAAAAAUACAUAAAUAAAAAAUUUACGGCCGGGCGUGGUGGCUCAAGCCUGUAAUCCCAGCACUUUGGGAGGCCGAGGCGGGCGGAUCACGAGGUCAGGAGAUCGAGACCAUCCUGGCUAACACGGUGAAACCCCGUCUCUACUAAAAAAUAUAAUAAACUAGCCGGGCGAGGUGGCGGGCGCCUGUAGUCCCAGCUACUCGGGAGGCUGAGGCAGGAGAAUGGCGUAAACCCGGGAGGCGGAGCUUGCAGUGAGCUGAGAUACGGCCACUGCACUCCAGCCUGGGCGACAGAGCAAGACUCCAUCUCAAAAAAAAAAAAAAAAAAAAAUUACAAAUUCUCCCAGCACUUUGGGAGGCCGAGGCAGGUGGAUCACGAGGUCAGGAGAUCAAGACCAUCUUGGCUAACGCGGUGAAACCCCGUCUCUACUAAAAAUACAAAAAAAUUAGCCUGGCAUGGUGGCAGGCACCUGUAGUCCCAGCUAAUUGGGAGGCUGAGGCAGGAGAAUGGUGUGAACCCAGGAGACAGAGCUUGCAGUAAGCCGAGAUCGCGCCACUGCACUCCAGCCUGGGUGACAGAGUGAGACUCUGUCUCAAAAAAUAAAUAAAUAAAUAAGUAACUUUAAAAAAAUUAAGCAUAAUAAAAUAGCACUUGAUUCAUUUCUGUAAAACUUGUAAAAUAUAUGAGACAAAGUAGCAAACAUAAGAAGCCAUAUUUGUUCAUUUCUUCCUGGCAACACAAUUUCAUAAAGUCCCUGACUCUGUGGGACAUGCAGCUCUCUGGAAAGAUGCUUUGAAGACAAAACAGGAGAGAGCACAUAGGCCCCCCAUGUCUCUUGCCUGAGUCACUACACUCCUUAAAAGAUAAAUGACCUGGUCCUUGCCUUGUCCUACACAUAAGAUAACGUCAGAUGGGGUUAGUGAUUAUGCCUCUGUAAUUUAUAACCAGAUGUACUCUUACACCCGAACCGUGAUGUGAUUCUUCUUUAAUGUAACUUCUGAGGAAGUUUGAUGUGAUUUUGCGUGUACUGAACCCCCACCACCUAUAUAUAAGCAGUGGGAUGAAAAACUGUGCCAGAGCCGAGAGACUGCUCCCAGGCUCCAGGCCUUGGUCCACAGUCCCCAGGAAGACUUCUAAAUAAAGCUAGCUUUAAUUCUUUAAAAGCCUGAUGCUCGGGCGGGCGCGGUGGCUCAUGCCUGUAAUCCCAGCACUUUGAGAGGCCGAGGUGGGCAAAUUGCUUGAGCUCAGGAGUUCGAGACCAGCUUGGGCAACACGGUAAAACCCUGUCUCUACUAAAAAUACAAAAAUUAGCCAGGCAUGUUGGCAUGCGCCUGUAGUCCCAGCUACUCAGGAGGCUGAGGCAGGAGAAUUGCUUGAACCCUGGAGGCAGAGGUUGCAGUGAGGCGAGAUCGCGCCACCACACUCCAGCCUGGCAACAGAGGGAGACUCCAUCUCAGAAAAAAAAGCCUGACGCUUUUUCUUUAGUCAACAAAUGAAAGAGUGUUCAGUCUUCACUCUGUUUUUAGGAUGUUGUCAAGUUUUACAAUGGGAAAGAAGUCCCAAAAUCAUAGAAUUUAGGCGACCUUAGCAAUGGUAGCUUACCUCGCUCAUUUGUGGUUCAGAAAGCUGAAGCCCAAAGCAGUUUUGUGGUAGGUCCAAGGUCGCUGGCAAGCCCCUCAGUGGAGAGCUAGCACUCAAGUCUCCUUAGGACAGCCAUAGCCAGGCUGAGAAUAGUUUAAUAGAGAAAUGAUCUAAUUUAGCUGUUUUACCUGGCUUGUCAAGUACGAGUGUGGCACAGAAUUCUUAGAAACAGGACUUAAAAGUUUAAAGCAUAUACAAAUGAUAUGCUUAGGCAUGCAAAAAUAUGUGCAUACAUAUUAGUUUUACUGGUGAAACCUAUCUGCCAAUAGAGAAAUUUAUGUGUGCUGUCAAAAAACAGCGCUUCCUUUAGUGCAGCUCACAUUGCAAUUCAAAUUGUUACAGAAAAAUGUGAGUAAAAUCUCCUGCAAGUAAAAAAUGUGAGUCCUGGAGUCCCACCCGGACUUCAGUGUUUUUUGUUAUUUGUUUUGUUUUGUUUGAAAUAGGGUCUUGCGCUGUUGCCCAUGCCCAGGAUCGAGUACAGUGGUACAAUCACAGCUCACUGCAGCCUUGACCUCCCAGGAUCAAGCGAUCCUCCCACCUCAGCCUCCCAAGUCGCUGGGACUACAGGCGUGUGCUGCUGUGCCUGGACAGACUUCAAUGCUGAGCCUAUUUUUUCUCCUGAAUAAUUGCCUAUAGGCAAGGUCACUUGGUGAUGUAUAACCCUUAUGGCUCUGCUCUCUGUCCCUAAAGCACACUCAAAUAUUUUUUUCUGAUUAUAAAAAGAGUUUAUAUUCACUUCAUUGUAGAAAUUUUGAAAACUAUAGAAAACAUAAAGAAAAGAAAACAAAAACUACC